ACCUGGUUGGCUUAGUGGGUAGAGCAUGUGACUCUUAAUCUCAGGGUUGUGAGUUUGAGCCCCACAUUAGCCA
rnacentral:tRNA from 1 species